rnacentral:lncRNA from 1 species
GAAACCUUAUGUCCUAAACCUUAUGUCUCUCAACUCUAAUGAAAAAACUCUAAGCCCGAUUUCUCGAGUCUCCAGCCAAACCAUGGCCAACGACGACAAAUUUCCUGCGCGGCUUUACCGGUCGGAACCCUAAUCUCGGGGUUAGCAACGGCCAUUUCCAGAAUACCCUGAUCUCAAUUUCACUUAAGCGGCGGCGUUGCCAUCGAUCUAUCAGCGAUGAUGUAGCUAGCCUUAUUUCCUGCUCCGUUGCACCGAAACCAUAGUUUGUGAUAGAAUCCUGAACUCACUCAACUCGAGAUUCCAAGAUCGAGGUGAUCAUAGAUUCACAACCUUGCACAAAGUCAAAUCUGAAGUUCAAAGUUCAUAGAAUAUGGACAAUGAACACUUGGAAUUAUUGAAGUUGCUUUUCCCCAAGUUCAAGAAAAACAAGAAGUCGCUGAAAGAUAAAUAGAACCAGACAUUUGCAGAGUGGUUAAAGGAAAAGGUACUGAAUGAACUCCUGUUUCCCGACAAUAAUGUUUCAGAAGCAAUGAGGUGGAUUUCAAGUGGACCGAAUAAUGAAGUGCCAACAUUUAGCGGAUGCUAGGUUAAUGGAGUUGAUUUCAACACCAAGGAUGGAGACAACAUCCGAUCAGUUCAAAACAGUGGAGUAUUUUUGCUCACGGAUGUAAUGCAAGUUUCUAGUGCAAGGGAUAAAAGGCCUAUUACUUCUAGGGAAAAUUUCACAAACAGUACACCAAGUAAAGACCACUAAUAAUUCUUAUACAUAAUGUUCC